GUGCCUAAUACAUGCAAGUAGAACGCUGAAGACUUUAGCUUGCUAAAGUUGGAAGAGUUGCGAACGGGUGAGUAACGCGUAGGUAACCUGCCUACUAGCGGGGGAUAACUAUUGGAAACGAUAGCUAAUACCGCAUAACAGCAUUUAACACAUGUUAGAUGCUUGAAAGGAGCAAUUGCUUCACUAGUAGAUGGACCUGCGUUGUAUUAGCUAGUUGGUGAGGUAACGGCUCACCAAGGCGACGAUACAUAGCCGACCUGAGAGGGUGAUCGGCCACACUGGGACUGAGACACGGCCCAGACUCCUACGGGAGGCAGCAGUAGGGAAUCUUCGGCAAUGGGGGCAACCCUGACCGAGCAACGCCGCGUGAGUGAAGAAGGUUUUCGGAUCGUAAAGCUCUGUUGUAAGAGAAGAACGUGUGUGAGAGUGGAAAGUUCACACAGUGACGGUAACUUACCAGAAAGGGACGGCUAACUACGUGCCAGCAGCCGCGGUAAUACGUAGGUCCCGAGCGUUGUCCGGAUUUAUUGGGCGUAAAGCGAGCGCAGGCGGUUUAAUAAGUCUGAAGUUAAAGGCAGUGGCUUAACCAUUGUUCGCUUUGGAAACUGUUAGACUUGAGUGCAGAAGGGGAGAGUGGAAUCCAUGUGUAGCCGUGAAAUGCG
rnacentral:rRNA from 1 species